AGUGGGAUAACUGGGUCAAAUGGUGGUUCCAUUCUAAGGAAUCUAUAUACUGCUUUCUAGAUUGGUUGCACCAAUUCGCAGUCCCACCAGCAAU
rnacentral:pre_miRNA from 1 species